UACGUAGGGUGCGAGCGUUGUCCGGAAUUAUUGGGCGUAAAAGAGCUCGUAGGCGGUUUGUUGCGUCUAUCGUGAAAACCUGCAGCUUAACUGUGGGCUUGCGGUGGAUACGGGCAGACUUGAGUUCGGUAGGGGAGACUGGAAUUCCUGGUGUAGCGGUGAAAUGCGCAGAUAUCAGGAGGAACACCGGUGGCGAAGGCGGCAUCCUGGACCGGCAUUGACGCUGAUGAGCGAAAGCUAGGGGAGCAAACGGG
rnacentral:rRNA from 1 species